UCCAGGGUAGCCUAGUGGUAUCUGCCCGGUAAGCGGAACACUGUGGGUUCGAUUCCCAUCCCUGGAC